rnacentral:lncRNA from 1 species
CUGGUGGUGCAGAGCUGGACGGCAACGACGUCGGACGCGCCCCUUCUUGGAACAAUGUCCCACCACGGAGGAGCUCCCAAGGCCUCUACGUGGGUCGUUGCUAGUCGGCGAAGCUCGACAGUGUCCCGAGCGCCAGAGAGGAGGCCGGCGGAGGAGUUGAAUCGAACAGGUCCUGAGGGAUAUAGUGUCGGCAGAGGUGGUCGCUGGAGAGGCCCCUCUAGGCCCCCGGAGGCCGUGGCCGCUGGUCACGAGGAACUGCCGCUGUGUUUUGCUUUGAAGAGCCACUUUGUUGGCGCGGUAAUCGGUCGUGGUGGGUCAAAAAUAAAGAAUAUACAAAGUACAACAAACACCACAAUCCAAAUAAUACAAGAACAACCAGAAUCAUUAGUCAAAAUUUUUGGCAGCAAGGCAAUGCAAACGAAAGCAAAAGCAGUGAUAGACAAUUUUGUUAAAAAACUAGAAGAAAAUUACAAUUCAGAAUGCGGAGUUGAUACUGCAUUCCAACCUUCUGUUGGAAAAGAUGGAAGCACAGAUAACAAUGUUGUUGCAGGAGAUCGGCCAUUGAUAGAUUGGGAUCAAAUUAGAGAAGAAGGUUUGAAAUGGCAAAAAACAAAGUGGGCAGAUUUACCACCAAUUAAGAAAAACUUUUAUAAAGAGUCCACUGCCACAAGUGCCAUGUCAAAAGUAGAAGCAGAUAGUUGGAGGAAAGAAAAUUUUAAUAUAACGUGGGAUGACUUGAAGGAUGGGGAGAAACGAUCUAUCCCCAAUCCUACCUGCACAUUUGAUGACGCCUUUCAAUGUUAUCCUGAGGUUAUGGAAAACAUUAAAAAGGCAGGUUUUCAAAAGCCAACACCUAUUCAGUCACAGGCAUGGCCCAUUGUGUUGCAAGGAAUAGAUCUUAUAGGAGUAGCCCAGACUGGAACAGGAAAGACAUUGUGUUAUUUAAUGCCUGGAUUUAUUCAUCUGGUCCUUCAACCCAGCCUUAAAGGUCAAAAGAAUAGACCCGGCAUGUUAGUUCUAACUCCCACUCGGGAAUUAGCACUUCAAGUAGAAGGAGAAUGUUGCAAAUAUUCAUAUAAAGGGCUUCGGAGUGUUUGUGUAUAUGGUGGUGGAAAUAGAGAUGAACAAAUAGAAGAGCUUAAAAAAGGUGUAGAUAUCAUAAUUGCAACUCCCGGAAGAUUGAAUGAUCUGCAAAUGAGUAACUUCGUCAAUCUGAAGAAUAUAACCUACUUGGUUUUAGAUGAAGCAGACAAGAUGUUGGACAUGGGAUUUGAACCCCAGAUAAUGAAGAUUUUGUUAGAUGUGCGCCCAGAUAGGCAGACAGUUAUGACCACUGCUACAUGGCCUCAUUCAGUUCAUCGCCUCGCACAAUCUUAUUUGAAAGAACCAAUGAUUGUCUAUGUUGGUACAUUGGAUCUAGUUGCUGUAAGUUCAGUGAAGCAAAAUAUAAUUGUAACCACCGAGGAAGAGAAAUGGAGUCACAUGCAAACUUUUCUACAGAAUAUGUCAUCCACAGACAAAGUCAUUGUCUUCGUUUCUCGAAAAGCUGUGUA